rnacentral:rRNA from 1 species
UACGGAGGGGGCUAGCGUUGUUCGGAAUUACUGGGCGUAAAGCGCACGUAGGCGGAUUCCUAAGUCGGGGGUGAAAUCCUGGAGCUCAACUCCAGAACUGCCUUCGAUACUGGGAAUCUUGAGUCCGGAAGAGGUGAGUGGAACUGCGAGUGUAGAGGUGAAAUUCGUAGAUAUUCGCAAGGACACCAGUGGCGAAGGCGGCUCACUGGUCCGGUACUGACGCUGAGGUGCGAAAGCGUGGGGAGCAAACAGG